UCGAGGACAGCAAUCAGAGAAGAGAGAUUGCCAGUCAAUGGAGAUGCAAAUCAUACUGAAGUUCAUGUGAACAACAGAUCACGCUGCAUUCAAGAAGAAUUAUGCUCCCAGAAAGAUUUCAACCAGAAGAAAAAUGUAACAAAACCUAGAAGUCUUGUGAGAUCUGUCUUUAUUUAUGAUUUUUUUUAUAGACUUUAUUGUUGCUACUAUAUUGGCUUUAUACUAAUAGCUGAUACUCAGCUUUAAUGUUGUUACUGAUUGAUUCUUUCGACCAGCACCUUUUUUUCAUUAAAAAAUACACACUUUGGUCAGCAAUCUGCAGGGAAAGUGAAGAAAGGUGAUGCAUUUUCACUUAUAUAGGAAGGCUGUCAUCAACAUCCACAUCCUUAUAAAUUAAAUCACUCGAGAAAGCAAAAAAGUUCAAAAAGAGUGGAAAGAAAAGACUUCCAAAACUUCAACAACCAUUUAAAUGAAGUGCAGACAAAAUAUGCUAGAACAGUAUGUAUUCCUGAUAGUGAUGUUGCUGGGUUCCAUAAGGUAAAA